AUUUACAAUGGCUGUCACUGACU
rnacentral:siRNA from 1 species